rnacentral:rRNA from 1 species
AUACGAAAGGUGCAAGCGUUGUUCGGAUUUACUGGGCGUAAAGAGAGUGUAGGUGGUUUAUUAAGUCGGAUGUGAAAUCCCGGGGCUCAACCUCGGAACUGCAUUCGAUACUGAUAGGCUAGAGUUUGGGAGGGGUAAGCGGAAUUCCGUGUGUAGCAGUGAAAUGCGUAGAUAGACGGAGGAACACCUGAGGCGAAGGCGGCUUACUGGACCAAUACUGACACUGAGACUCGAAAGCGUGGGUAGCAAACAGGAUUAGAAACCCUAGUAGUCC